GCAGAAAGAGGCGAUGAAGGGCGUGCUAAUCUGCGAUAAGCGCCGGUAAGGUGAUAUGAACCGUUAUAACCGGCGAUACCCGAAUGGGGAAACCCAGUGUGAUUCGUCACACUAUCAUUAACUGAAUCCAUAGGUUAAUGAGGCGAACCGGGGGAACUGAAACAUCUAAGUACCCCGAGGAAAAGAAAUCAACCGAGAUUCCCCCAGUAGCGGCGAGCGAACGGGGAGGAGCCCAGAGCCUGAAUCAGCAUGUGUGUUAGUGGAAGCGUCUGGAAAGGCGCGCGAUACAGGGUGACAGCCCCGUACACAAAAGCGCAUGUGCUGUGAGCUCGAUGAGUAGGGCGGGACACGUGGUAUCCUGUCUGAAUAUGGGGGGACCAUCCUCCAAGGCUAAAUACUCCUGACUGACCGAUAGUGAACCAGUACCGUGAGGGAAAGGCGAAAAGAACCCCGGCGAGGGGAGUGAAAAAGAACCUGAAACCGUGUACGUACAAGCAGUGGGAGCNNNNGGGCGUUAAGUUGCAGGGUAUAGACCCGAAACCCGGUGAUCUAGCCAUGGGCAGGUUGAAGGUUGGGUAACACUAACUGGAGGACCGAACCGACUAAUGUUGAAAAAUUAGCGGAUGACCUGUGGCUGGGGGUGAAAGGCCAAUCAAACCGGGAGAUAGCUGGUUCUCCCCGAAAGCUAUUUAGGUAGCGCCUCGUGAAUUCAUCUCCGGGGGUAGAGCACUGUUUCGGCUAGGGGGCCAUCCCGGCUUACCAACCCGAUGCAAACUGCGAAUACCGGAGAAUGUUAUCACGGGAGACACACGGCGGGUGCUAACGUCCGUCGUGAAGAGGGAAACAACCCAGACCGCCAGCUAAGGUCCCAAAGUCAUGGUUAAGUGGGAAACGAUGUGGGAAGGCCCAGACAGCCAGGAUGUUGGCUUAGAAGCAGCCAUCAUUUAAAGAAAGCGUAAUAGCUCACUGGUCGAGUCGGCCUGCGCGGAAGAUGUAACGGGGCUAAACCAUGCACCGAAGCUGCGGCAGCGANNUGCUGGAGGUAUCAGAAGUGCGAAUGCUGACAUAAGUAACGAUAAAGCGGGUGAAAAGCCCGCUCGCCGGAAGACCAAGGGUUCCUGUCCAACGUUAAUCGGGGCAGGGUGAGUCGACCCCUAAGGCGAGGCCGAAAGGCGUAGUCGAUGGGAAACGGGUUAAUAUUCCCGUACUUGGUGUUACUGCGAAGGGGGGACGGAGAAGGCUAUGUUGGCCGGGCGACGGUUGUCCCGGUUUAAGCGUGUAGGUGUGUGUUCCAGGUAAAUCCGGUUCACUUUAACACUGAGGCGUGACGACGAGGCACUACGGUGCUGAAGCAACAAAUGCCCUGCUUCCAGGAAAAGCCUCUAAGCAUCAGGUAACAUCAAAUCGUACCCCAAACCGACACAGGUGGUCAGGUAGAGAAUACCAAGGCGCUUGAGAGAACUCGGGUGAAGGAACUAGGCAAAAUGGUGCCGUAACUUCGGGAGAAGGCACGCUGACACGUAGGUGAAGUGAUUUACUCAUGGAGCUGAAGUCAGUCGAAGAUACCAGCUGGCUGCAACUGUUUAUUAAAAACACAGCACUGUGCAAACACGAAAGUGGACGUAUACGGUGUGACGCCUGCCCGGUGCCGGAAGGUUAAUUGAUGGGGUCAGCGCAAGCGAAGCUCCUGAUCGAAGCCCCGGUAAACGGCGGCCGUAACUAUAACGGUCCUAAGGUAGCGAAAUUCCUUGUCGGGUAAGUUCCGACCUGCACGAAUGGCGUAAUGAUGGCCAGGCUGUCUCCACCCGAGACUCAGUGAAAUUGAACUCGCUGUGAAGAUGCAGUGUACCCGCGGCAAGACGGAAAGACCCCGUGAACCUUUACUAUAGCUUGACACUGAACAUUGAGCCUUGAUGUGUAGGAUAGGUGGGAGGCUUUGAAGUGUGGACGCCAGUCUGCAUGGAGCCGACCUUGAAAUACCACCCUUUAAUGUUUGAUGUUCUAACGUGGACCCGUAAUCCGGGUUGCGGACAGUGUCUGGUGGGUAGUUUGACUGGGGCGGUCUCCUCCUAAAGAGUAACGGAGGAGCACGAAGGUUGGCUAAUCCUGGUCGGACAUCAGGAGGUUAGUGCAAUGGCAUAAGCCAGCUUGACUGCGAGCGUGACGGCGCGAGCAGGUGCGAAAGCAGGUCAUAGUGAUCCGGUGGUUCUGAAUGGAAGGGCCAUCGCUCAACGGAUAAAAGGUACUCCGGGGAUAACAGGCUGAUACCGCCCAAGAGUUCAUAUCGACGGCGGUGUUUGGCACCUCGAUGUCGGCUCAUCACAUCCUGGGGCUGAAGUAGGUCCCAAGGGUAUGGCUGUUCGCCAUUUAAAGUGGUACGCGAGCUGGGUUUAGAACGUCGUGAGACAGUUCGGUCCCUAUCUGCCGUGGGCGCUGGAGAACUGAGGGGGGCUGCUCCUAGUACGAGAGGACCGGAGUGGACGCAUCACUGGUGUUCGGGUUGUCAUGCCAAUGGCACUGCCCGGUAGCUAAAUGCGGAAGAGAUAAGUGCUGAAAGCAUCUAAGCACGAAACUUGCCCCGAGAUGAGUUCUCCCUGAGACUUAGAGUCUCCUGAAGGAACGUUGAAGACGACGACGUUGAUAGGCCGGGUGUGUAAGCGCAGCGAUGCGUUGAGCUAACCGGUACUAAUGAACCGUGAGGCUUAACCUUACAA
rnacentral:rRNA from 1 species